CUGGAGAGCAGGAAAGGGCUCGCGGAGCAGGCGGCGGCGAGGACAGGCAAGCGGGAGCCGCUGACGGGGAAAUCCACUGGCAGCGAGCGCGUGCUUACAUGUCUGCGGGACUGAUACCAACCUUCAGAUCCCAUUUUUGCAACCCACGGCUCAGAUGAAGGAAGUAACCCAUACUGUCCAUAACGCCACUCAACGCCUCUGAGGCCACCUUCUGCCCGCACUCCAGACAGCUUGUCCAAUGAGGAUUCUCUCCGCUGCAUCAGUAUAUAGAGUUCCUGGGUGAGAGAGAAAGAGGGGUGAGAAGGGGCAGAGGGAGAAGAAGAGAGAAACCCAAGCAGACUCUGCACUGAGCAUGGAGCCCUACCCAGGGCUUGAUCUCACGAUCCUGAGAGCGCAACCUGAGCUGAAACCAAGAGUUCUAUGCUUAACUGACUACACCACCCAGGUCGUGGUCAGAAAAAGCCAGAAAAACCUGCCAUUAACUCUUGCUACUCAAAGAGUGAACAAGCAGCCUCACAACCUCUGGGAGCCCCAUUAGAAAUACCAACUCCAACUCCACCCUAGGACUUGCUGCCUGGGAAUCUGCAUUGUAACAAGAUAUCCAGGUGUUUCUUGUGUGGCCACUGAAGGUAAAGAAGCCCUGCUAUGAUGCUGGCUAUGUUCUGCCUAAUUACACGUGUCCUGCACAGCAUAGUCUCAGGGUGUAGCGGGAGAGGAGAAGUGAAUGUAGUUGGAAAGCAGUGCUCAAAUGAUCUGCUCCCAGGUUCCUUUAAGUUGCCUUUCCUAUGGAAUAACUCAGAGAAACUGGUCACUGACUUUCUUUUUUCUUCUUUUCCUCUUUUUGGACUGAAUGGUGAUUUUUUCUUUUUUUUUUCUGAUUAGCUGAUUUUACACAUACUCUAUACCCACACAUUUCCAGUUUCUCUUUAAAAAAAACUGGAAAAUCUGACAACGUGAGUCUAACAUUUCUGUAAGGCAGCAGUCAGCUGGAGUUGAGUACUGUCUGUGCCCUGUGGACAGAGCACUGAUCCUCAGUCCUCUCCACUCCCCACCACACAUAGUCUUUUCAUACAUAGUUGCUUGGUCACUGAAAGCAUUUGAUUUUGUGAUCCCUGUGCUGUGUAUAUUAUCCUGAUUUUAUUUUUAUUUAUUUUCUUAUUUGUUUUUUUUUAAUUUUUUAAGAUUUUUAUUUAUUUAUUUAUUUGACAGACAGAGAUCACAAGCAGAGAGGCAGGCAGAGAGAGAGGAGGAAGCAGGCUCCCUGCUAAGCAGAGAGCCCAAUGCGGGGCUCGAUCCCAGGACCCUAGGAUCAUGGCCUAGGGCAAAGGCAGAGGCUUUAACCCACUGAGCCACCCAGGUGCCCCUAUUAUCCUGAUUUUUAAUUGUUCUUCGUAGAUCUUAAUCUGUGGUCAUUAGAUAUUCUUUGGACUUUCCUACUGAGAAUGAUUAAAAAACAAAAAUAGGUUCUGCACCAGCAACAGAAUUUAGCAAAAGUGUAUUAUCUCAACUGUGGCAAAAAUAUAUGGCUCUGGACCGCCUGCUGCUUUAUUGUGUUUCACGGUUUUCAUACUGCUGACUCCGAUUCUGCUUCUAAGAAAGUGGGACUCAGGCUUUUUUUCAGUUGUCUUGUGGUUGGUGGUUCCUCGAUUCUUCCUAGUGGGGUUUUAGUUUUCCUAAAUAGAUACCAUUGCUAUGCCUCUUCAGAUGUUAUCCUCUUGUUUUAUUUAUUCGAUCAGAGACUAGUUUGUUGUUCUGAGGGGACAAGUUAAUGUAAUGUCAAUUUAGUGUACUCAGAGUGCCUCAGGCUAUGGAAUGGACCAGCACUGAUAGAUAUACAGUAUUGGAAAGUAGUUACAAAUGUCCUUAGAAAGCAUUUGGGGUAUGAAUUAGGUCAGACUGAGACACAAAGAAUGAAAAGUUCUGAAUUCCCUCUGGUGAAUAAUAAUUUCCUCAUUGUAAUAGGUUUAGCUUAGCUUUCCUUUCUGUACAAAAGAUGUUUCUGGUUGUGUGUAAUCGAAGACCAGAUUCAAAUUGGCAGUGAAGGAAAUUUACUGGCUCACAGAGUUAAAAAGUGCAGUGGGAGAUCAGGCUUCAGGCAUAAUCAGAUCAAGGCUCUAGUUCUGCUUCUCUUUUGAGUCUGUCACCUCUGCCCCUCUCAGUGUCUGCUUCAUUUUUAGCCUUGCUUCCUAUACAGUAAAUAAACAGCUAAAAUAGUUCCACAUACAACAACUCCCUGUGGCCAAGAGAAUAUCUUUCCUGAGCAGUUGGUAAGAAUAAGGAAAUUUCCCACAAAUCCUCAUAAAAAUCUUUUUAUAUCCAUCCCUCGUCAGCACUGGGUCAUUUGGCCAUCUUUGAAUGAUUCAGUGUACCAACGUAACCAGCCAGAGCUAAUCAGGGCUUACUCUGUAUUAGCUCAUCCAUACUUCAGGGCUGAAUGGGUUGGGUAGGGAAAGCUAUUACAGUGAAGGUGGGGUAGAAAGCUGGAAGGAGAUACCUUCUUUAGAAGUUAUACAGCCAGGAGGAAGCUUCAUUAAUUAUGACCAUCCUCUCAGUUGCUACCUCACAUACUGAAAACAAGUUCUUUAUAUGGUAGCCCUUCUUUUCUUUCAUGAGGAUGAAACUUUAAUCAUAAAAGUAUAAGUACUGGUUAUACCAACAGGCUGCCAUAGCACAGUACUGUAGACAGGGAAGCUUGAACAAUAGAUAUUUAUUUUCUCACAGUUCUGGAGGUGGCAAGUUGAAGAUCAGGAUGCCAGUUGUUAGGUUCCGGUGAGAAGUCUCUUACUGGCUUGCAGAUGGCCACCUUUUUGGUGUGUUCUCACAUGGCAGAGAGAGAGAGGGAGAGAGAAUGGGAGGGAGAGGGAGAAAGAGAGAGGCAGAGGGAGAAAUCUCUCAUCCUCUUCUUCUAAGGCCCUAAACCUACCAGAUUAGGGCACCACCCUUUUGGCUUUAUUUACCCUAAAUUCACUUCUAAAGAUCCUGUCUUCAGAUAGUCCUUUUGGGUGUUAGGGCUUCACCAUAUUAAUUAGAGGGGGGACAGACUCAGUAUAUAUCAGUCCACAAAUGUUAAUCAUUCCCAAGUAUUUUUUGAGCAUCUGUUCUGUACUUAGGCUGGACCAGGGAUUGUGAUUGUUGGGAGUGCAGUGAGAUGGGAUGAAAUAAUCACUGAGGAGGAAGUCAUAAACUAGAACAAAUGCUGUGAAAUAGAAUAAAUGCUGAAGAAACUCCAGAAUGGCAGGGAUCAAUGAAGAGUGGAAUGGCCCAAAAGCUUUAUGGAGGAGUUGAGGCCUAAGCCAGGAUUUUGGAAUCCAUGAAAGGAAGUAAGAACUGUGCGACAGGGUAAAAAUCCAGACUAGGGAUGGGGAUCCCAAUAGGGAUGAAGGGAAAGUGCCAGGUACCAGAGAGGUCUUACAGAAA